CAGCAGCCACGGUAAUACGUAGGUGGCAAGCGUUAUCUGGAAUUAUUGGGCGUAAAGCGCGCGUAGGCGGUUUCUUAAGUCUGAUGUGAAAGCCCACGGCUCAACCGUGGAGGGUCAUUGGAAACUGGGAAACUUGAGUGCAGAAGAGGAAAGUGGAAUUCCAUGUGUAGCGGUGAAAUGCGCAGAGAUAUGGAGGAACACCAGUGGCGAAGGCGACUUUCUGGUCUGUAACUGACGCUGAUGUGCGAAAGCGUGGGGAUCAAACAGGAUUAGAUACCCGUGUAGUCCCUGUCUCUUAUAC
rnacentral:rRNA from 1 species